rnacentral:rRNA from 1 species
UGGGGAAUUUUGGACAAUGGGGGAAACCCUGAUCCAGCCAUCCCGCGUGUGCGAUGAAGGCCUUCGGGUUGUAAAGCACUUUUGGCAGGAAAGAAACGUCGCGGGUUAAUACCCCGCGAAACUGACGGUACCUGCAGAAUAAGCACCGGCUAACUACGUGCCAGCAGCCGCGGUAAUACGUAGGGUGCAAGCGUUAAUCGGAAUUACUGGGCGUAAAGCGUGCGCAGGCGGUUCGGAAAGAAAGAUGUGAAAUCCCAGAGCUUAACUUUGGAACUGCAUUUUUAACUACCGGGCUAGAGUGUGUCAGAGGGAGGUGGAAUUCCGCGUGUAGCAGUGAAAUGCGUAGAUAUGCGGAGGAACACCGAUGGCGAAGGCAGCCUCCUGGGAUAACACUGACGCUCAUGCACGAAAGCGUGGGGAGCAAACAGGAUUAGAUACCCUGGUAGUCCACGCCCUAAACGAUGUCAACUAGCCUGUUGGGGCCUUCGGGCCUUGGUAGCGCAGCUAACGCGUGAAGUCGACCGCCUGGGGAGU